CAGAACGGAAACAGCCAUGGCCUCCAUCUCUUCCUCCCCUCCUCCCACUUAAUUUAUUUGCAUGUUCACACCGGAGUCAACACGAAAACUGUGGAGGGCGUUAGAAGUAACCCAUUCAGGGAAUUAGAACCCAACAUUAUUGCUUUAAUUGGACGAACCGAUCCAUGAAACGUACAGCCAUUAAUGACCGCACUAAGCUCGCUGUGGAUCUCCUCGUAUGGACUUCCCUCGCACCUAUAAAGAGCACCCCGAGGAUCUCCUCCUAGUACCCAUAUUCCUCCCGAAGAAUCCCUCUCCAUCUCCCUCCCCAUCUCAUGGAAUCUCUCGCCGGAGUUUACCCUCUGCCACCACUUCAGACGAAGCUAGCAACGCCUCCGCCGGAACACACCGUCCGGGAGUACGCAACCAAACGGAGUUCAGCGCAACUCCGGCGGCCCUCCACCACCACCACCGGAUGAGUUCGAGCCCGAGGCCUUGACUUCCUGACUCACCGCGCCGUCCCCUGCCCCGUCCGCCUUGCUCCUUCACCUGGAACCGCUGUGUCGUCGAGACCAUCGACAUCCGAGCCAUGCUGCCGUCUCCGGCGACCGGACCAUCUCUCCUCGAUUGCGACGAGUGUGAAGGUGAAUUCUACGAGGAGGUAGAACCGUGUGACUACGAAACCGAAGGCAAGUUGCAACUUGAUCAUUCCUUGUCCUAUGUGUUUGUAAUAUGCAUGAUCUCUUUAAAAUUUACUAGUAUGCAUGUUUUACUGAAAAGUUUUGCAAACAACUAUUGCUAGUUAAAGCUCUAGGUACUUGUAGCUAUGCUUAGCCAUGCUUGCAAAUAAAAGGGUUGGGAAUCAAACAAGUUUACAUGUUUAAACUUGUCUUCUUUUGGGGCAAUGAUUUAUGAUAACUUUUGGAAAAUAAAAAACUAUAUAUUAUUUUACUUCUACUCCCUGGGCGGAAUGGUAUUGAUGGGAGCGUCUACAAGUGAUUGCGUCCAUCGGGGUCUUGUAGUGAAUGCGUCUGACUGGGGUCUUGCACACAGGUUUUUGGUGGGGACCAUCGUUCAGGGGAAUGAGAUCUUCCAAGUACAGUUUGAUGUAGCUCCUAGUAUAGCCACAUGCUACUAUGGGCUCUGGCUUAGUUUAGUACUAACAGGAAACCCUUACCUCAGGACUGCCAUCGGAGAGAGGCUUUCAUUGCCUAAGUUGCGGGCGGCUUGGUCAGGUAUAGGGGGCUAUUACGGAAAGGCUUCGUCACAAUCUUCUUUUAGUCGUACACUCAAGUGGGGGUUGGUUGUGUUGGUUGUGUCAUGUGGGGAAUGCGUACGACCUCUGCAGAGGGUUUAACCUAAUCGAUUAGUCGUGCCCCCGGUUACGGGCAAUUUUGAGCAACUAAAGACUUGGACUGAAGAAGAAUCUCCCCUCUUUUUUCUAAAAGUCUGUUUUAAGGGCUAAAGUUGAGGGAUGAGCAUAGUGAAUGUGUUUCACUUCAAUUUUAUGUAUGUUUUAAACUAAUUUGGAGAAUGAACACUGGUGCGUAUAUCCAAGUGUCUCACUCCUACCUUUUAAACUAAAACUAUUUUUUAUUUCAUUUUUAUUUCAAAAGAAGUUUACAAAAUUUAGUAUAGGUGAAAAUUGGCUUUAUGCAAAGGAAACCUUCACCAAUACUUACCUUGCAUAUAUAGUCUGUUAAAAUUUUCUUGGGACAUUUACAUCUAUGCCCUUAACUCAAACCCACUACUCAGUUUUGCCCCUAAUUUUUAGGUAUGCUCAGUUUUGCCCCUAAUUUUUAGGUAUGCUCAGUUUUGCCCCUCCGCCGUUAGUUUAACUUAUAGAAAUGACCUUUUGUGUCGUUACCGUUCGGUCAAAGGGCUUUGACCAUCCUGAAAAAAUAGCAAAACAAUUCAAAAAAAUUAGAACUUUGUGGGAUCGAAGAUACUCAUGUGAACAGUAAAUUAAAAAAAUAGAGAAAAAAUCGAAAAAAAUAUGAAAUUUUGUGGGACUGAAGAUACUGCAGUUGUGCAAGAUGUGUGCACAUUUUUGUUGUGUUUGGAAAUUGUAGGAGCUCAUGGAGGAAAAAAACAAAAUUUAGCUCAAAAAAACUUUGAAAAAAUGCACUAUUUUGUUUUUUUUCUCUAGAGCGCCUCGUACGUCAUUUGAUCACCAAAAAUGGCAAGCACCUUGUGCACUCAAACCUCUUUGAAGCCAAAAAAAUAAACUUUUUUGAAUUUUUUUGCUAUUUUUUCAAAUUUACUGUUCAGGGGCAUAAAUUAUUUUUGCUUUCCUUUGCCACGAGUCCAACCAACACCAAAAUUUGCACGCACCUUGCGAACAUGACUAUCUUUGAUCCCACAAAUUUUCAAUUUUUUUGAUUUUUUUGCUAUUUUUUUAUGGAUGGUCAAAGUCCUUUGACCAAACGGUAACGGCGCAAAAGGGAAUUCCUAUAAGUGACACUAACAACGGAGGGGCAAAACCGAGCAUACCUAAAAAUUAGGGGCAAAACUGAGUGGUGGGUUCGAGUUAGGGGCACAACUGGAAUUGGCCCAAUUUUCUUUGUAACUUGUGAGUAUAUUCCACGUACUCAUCUGCAUCUGUCAUGUGUAGAUCUUGAUAGAGUAAGAGACGAUAGGGUUAUGGUCUACACUCAACGAGCCUAGUGACGUUGAUGGAUCCCUAACUAAGUGACUACGUAUAAUUCCGCUGUAUUAUGUGCCAUCAUUGAGCUGUGCCAAUGGUAUGUAUUUGCUUAAUUCUGGAUCUACCGUUGUCGUAAAAUGAUGUAUGUUUUACUGAUAUUCAUUUUUGUUACUGUGUGUGUUAACUACGAUCCAGGAUAGCACAGUAAGCACAGAGACUUGGAUUUUACCAAAUUCGGGUAGUAACAGUUCAGGGGUAUCACGGGCAUUUCGCGUGUCGGGAUUUCACAGGAGGUGGGAAUUUUCGCGCGCGUUGUAAUUUUGGGAUAGUAAGGAGCGGGUUGAGAUGGAGGAAGUUUUCGGAGCA